UGGGGGAUAUUGCACAAUGGGCGAAAGCCUGAUGCAGCGACGCCGCGUGGGGGAUGAAGGCCUUCGGGUUGUAAACUUCUUUUGCUCGGAACAAGGCGCACCAUGGGGUGUGUUGAGUGUAGGGGUUGAUUAGCGCCGGCUAACUACGUGCCAGCAGCCGCGGUAAUACGUAGGGCGCGAGCGUUGUCGGGAAUUAUUGGGCGUAAAGGGCUUGUAGGUGGCUGGUUGCGUCUGUCGUGAAAGCUCAUGGCUUAACUGUGGGUUUGCGGUGGGUACGGGCUGGCUUGAGUGCAGUAGGGGAGGCUGGAAUUCCUGGUGUAGCGGUGGAAUGCGCAGAUAUCAGGAGGAAUACCGGUGGCGAAGGCGGGUCUCUGGGCUGUUACUGACACUGAGGAGCGAAAGCAUGGGGAGCGAACAGG
rnacentral:rRNA from 1 species